rnacentral:lncRNA from 1 species
AUGAGCAAGUAUGGGGCCCCACUGCCUUGGAUGUGCUGUGGUCCAGAUGUGGAUUGGGGUGCACUAGUAGCUUCUGUUAGUUUAAAAUAACAGAUGAGUAGGAUGCCAUGAAUGGCAUUCAAAGACAUGGAGAAAGUCACAACAGGUUUGAUCCUGAGAGGUAGCGCACAGAACAUUAGAUUUGGCGGCCUCACAAGGCUAGGAUUCCUGGGGCCUUUUUAAUGAAGUUGUGACAGUGAAACCCGAUUAACCUUGUAGUGCAGACAUAGCAUAAAUAGCAUUGCUUCCACCUGGUGCUGAUAUUUAAGAUAUAUAUUUUUUAAAAUCUGCAAUUAAAACGGUUCUCUUUCCUGUUCCUUUUUCGUGUGUGCUUGGAAUCUCUGCAUGAGGGCAGAUCGGCCGAGUGACUCCUGUGUAAUUACAAAGAGUUGAAGAAGGUCUUUGAAGUUGCUUCCAGCUCUGUAGUUCUAUGAUUUACAGCCUGUAGGCAUCUGUAAACCAUUCAAGCCAAUGUAUCCCCUCCUAAGCCUGCUUAGUCCAAUUGAUUUUCGUAUUGCCUUAGCAAAAGCUGGCAUGGUCCCACUGACUUCAGUGGGGCUAAGCUCAUUAAAGUAGUUUGUCAAUUUUGCUGUGAGCUUCAUUAAUGGAUCCUGGUUUCUUUAGAAGUUUCGGAAUGUAUGAAUUCUGUGGUGUUUCAUAUAGAGUAUGUCCUGCUUACACACUUCUUUGAGAUAGCUGUGCAUUCCUCUACAUGCCUACCAAGAAGUAAAUUUCUGUUGAGUUCAGUGAGCUUUACAUCCAGGAUAGUUUAUAUAAGACUGCAGCCUAAAUUUUUCUGAGUUCAGUUAGAUAUACUUGUGAGUAAGGAUGGGUAGAAAUUUGGUUCACUUCACAUUUUUAUGCAAACCCAUGUAAUUUGUACUUCUAAUUUAUGAACGAAACAGUGCACAAAUUGUUUUGCUGCUAUCAUUCUGAAUUCACUCUUCUCUGAAAUUUGCCAUGCGGUUCUUCAACCAAAUAAAAUGUACCAAAGGCAAUGCAUACAUUAGGAGAAAGUGUGUAUUGCAGUGUAUAUAUUACUGAAAUACAACAUACAAAAAUGUGUUAUGGCCAGGGAAAUUACUUCCAGAAACUUGUAUAUGCAGUGAAAUUUUACACAAAACCAUGCAUUUUACAAGAAAUUCACACUGAUGAUGAAUUUUCAUGAGGACUCUCUUUAAAAAAAAAAAAAUCCUCACACUGAUGCAAAAAUGUGGUGAAAUAUAUUUAGGACUGGAAAAAUGAGAAACUGGGAGGAAAAACAAAAUUGACACACACACGCACACAUAUAUGUUUGAUACACUGUAGGUGGGCAAACAUGUUUCUUCGUGCUAAAGCUGUUGCUAGAGCAGACCUGAACAACUUGUCGCCCAUGUCAAAAACAGCCCACAAAGUUGUCACUUCUCCCCAGUUUUUGCAGUCUCAGAUUACCAGUAAAAAACAAAGCAAGUAGAGUUCAUUCCUUGAUAUCUCCAGUUAAAACAUUUCAGGUAAUGAUGCCAAUAUGUAUUGCACUGACCAUUGGUAAAUAACAAGAACAAAGAAUUAUGUAAGUUCCACACGUAUAGAUUUAUUUAUUUAUUUAUUUAUUUAUUUAUUUAUUUAUUUAGAUUUAUUUCAAAUCUAAAUAUUAUGGGUGGGAAAUGUUUAGAUCACAUUAACAACUAUGGACAAACAAUCUGUUUCCAUGCCAUGAGGCUUUUGCAUGUGUGUGUGAUGUGUGUGUGUUCACAUAUUAAUCCAUGUCGUUCCAUUUCUAUCUCAAUCUGUAAUUUCUAAAAAUUUGCACCAAAGUUCACAUUUAAGUGCAUAUUUUAAAUAUGUCUUUUUUUCAGAAAAAUGCAUUUCUAAACACCUUAUCUCAAAAAUAUGCAUUAUAAAUGUAUGUUGAUACUUUUUUCCAGUCAAGAACUACCAUCAGAAUAUUCAGGAAGUGUGAAUAUCUGUAGAUAACCAAGUUACAAUCUGCCCAUUAGUUCAGGAUAGGGAUGAAGGAGAAUUACCAGCCUAAUGUCCAUUUCCUGGACUGAUGCAUUGAUUGGAAAGUAAUUAUCCCUUAGAUUUCACACCUUUCUGGAUUUUACAAUACACAGAUAAAAAAAGGUAUAAACGUCUGUAAAAAAGGUGUAUUGCUUAUUUGUGCCAUUUCUGAUACUUUGAAUUGUAAUAAGUUUGUAUUAAAUUGCCUUAAUAGUAUGCUGAAUUUGUUUGCUUUUGCCUUAUUUCUAUGCUAUUUUGCUUUCGAUAUAAUUAUAUGGAUUGUAGCAGUUGAUCAUUUUCUUUAAUUUAUUUAUUUAUUUAUUUAUUUAUACAUAC